rnacentral:rRNA from 1 species
UACGUAGGGGGCAAGCGUUGUCCGGAUUUAUUGGGCGUAAAGCGCACGCAGGCGGUCAUGUCAGUUUCGAGUGACAGGUGGUGGCUUAACUGCCACAGGCCUCGAAAGACGGCAUGACUUGAGGGCUUGAGAGGGACGCGGAAUUCCAGGUGGAGCGGUGAAAUGCGUAGAGAUCUGGAAGAACACCAAAGGCGAAGGCAGCGUCCUGGCAAGUUCCUAACGCUCAGGUGCGAAAGCUAGGGGAGCGAACGGG